rnacentral:rRNA from 1 species
UACGUAGGGGGCAAGCGUUGUCCGGAUUUAUUGGGCGUAAAGAGCGUGUAGGCGGCCAGAUAGGUCCGUUGUGAAAACUCGAGGCUCAACCUCGAGACGCCGAUGGAAACCAUUGGCUAGAGUCCGGAAGAGGAGAGUGGAAUUCCUGGUGUAGCGGUGGAAUGCGCAGAUAUCAGGAGGAACACCAAUAGCGAAGGCAGCUCGCUGGGACGGUACUGACGCUGAGACGCGAAAGCGUGGGGAGCGAACAGG